ensembl:lncRNA
UUUUUUUUUUUUUUUUUUUUUUUUUUUUUUUGGCCAUCAACUUUCUUAGAAGUAGUAAGGAAAAAAUACAAAAUUAUUGUGCUUUUUUUCUUUUUAAUAAAGUCAAACCCAAAAUAAUUAACAGCGCUAGCUGCAGAAAAGGGACAAUUUGCAUAACAGUGUAAUGGACAUUGAAAAUAUCCAUCGUAGAUUGUUAAUUUUUCUUUAUGCACUGUGUACAGUGCUUGCACAAUGGCUUUUGCUCCUCAUGCUCAAACACAGCACUGGGAAUAGUGCCUGAAGAAAAAGGCUGGGGGGCACCAUUCUGUAGUUUAACUCUAGAAGGUAUCUCUUAAGAAAGAAGGGGACCGUGGGGUGACCAGCACUGAGCACCCACCCCAGGUGCCAGCUCACUCAGCACCAGGUCUCAGGACCAGGAGCUGGGCUGCCCAGGGCUGCGUCAACCAGAGCUCAGUGCUGGGGAACCUGGAAUGGAACAAAUCACUGCUGCCCCAUUCCCACUCCUGCUUUACUCUGCUAAGAGCACUUACGGCAUCACACGGAGAAGCCCAGCUAAAAGCCAUCUUCCUCCUCCUGCCAUAUCUGGAAGGUUUCUUUGCAACCAUAAAACCCUGAAUCUUACAGAAAAGGAUGCUGAAAUCCUGUAGAAUCUGCUCAGAGCAAGGAAAUAGCAAUGUAUAAACUCCCUCACAGGACGGUACACUAGUAAAGACCUGUAAUAGGUUUGAUUUUCCAGUCCUACAAAGACUCUGAGAUGCCGAAAGGUACAAAGCUGGUAUGCAGCUUGCUCCCUUUGCUGGUCAAAAUCUCUUUCUUCUGUGUCCCGAAUCAGGCAGAUACAUGAGAAGGUGGAGGACUCCCUUGGUCAGAGCUGCUGCACCUCUGCAGGGCUCACGGCUUGUGUUGUUCUUCCCUCAGUGACCAAUGAAAAAUUUAAGAGGUGACAAAGACACAGAUGUAAAUAGAACUGCGAUGCCUAGAAAGCCAGAGCACUGAUAGGAUCAGAGACAGACUGUAAUUACAGGCCCUGCUACUUAUUACAUAGGCCUGCAGUGUUACAUGAGCCUUCUGUGGAAACUUCCUGUGUAAUUAAUAAAGGAGAAACAAAAUACUUUUGCAAUCACUUUUCUAGAUUUCACUGUGGGGGUCCAAUCCUGCCAUCCUGGAUUAGCUCUAAUCAUAGUCAAUCUUUCACUGCAUAAACUGAAGGCAUCUGUUCUGUCAAAGGUAAAAAGAAAACCAAAAACAAGCAGCAAACCUCACUGCAAACCUACACCGUCGCAAUCAAGGAGGAAAGGAAAUCGAUCCUGAAAACUCCCGCCCAGAUCGUAAUCUGACAGUGUUUUCAAGGCAUCUGGCAAAAAAGGAGGAGAAAGAAGAACGCUAUGAAAUAUUUAAAGCCCUGCUCCUGUCAGGAAUACGUGAGAGGGGAAAGGUGAAUCUGAAAAAGAGGCAUUAUUUGUAAGCUGAAGAGGAAAGCACCACCUUUUGCGUAGAGAUGCCCUUGGCCCAACCAGAGCUGUCCUAAGGAAAAGCAGCAGGCACUGAUUGAACUUGGAAAAGUCAAGGCUGCACAUGAGCAGGACCAAGGAGGCUGCCCUGCACACCACGGUUUGCAGCAUGGGAUGUCAAGGAGAAGGCAAACGAGAAUGUUGAUAACAUGGGAAAAUAGCUGAGUAUAUGCAGCCCUAACUGAUCCUAAUCUAAAGCUUCAAUGGGAGUUUCAACAGAGAUGGCAAAUGGGGCAUCCCCAAGGAAGGAUUUCUCCAAACACCACUCCUCUUAAGCCAAGGUUGCAAAGCUGCCCUGUGCUUUCCGAGAUGCUGCAUCCACACCUGCAUGCAGCACAGCUCCUGUGGAAACCAUAGCAGACACCAGGACCAGUGCUGGGCAUACAAAUGGGAACAGAGCGGUCCUGAUAAGCUGAAACAAAAGGCACUUUGGAACAAAACUGGCACGGCCACAAUCCCCACAGCGCUUGUGUAAGAUAGCAAGAAAGAACCCCUAGAACGUAUUUAUCAAAAGCCAUUUUAUGCAGAUUUUUUUUUUUCCUCCUGAAUAUUUAAAACGUGGCGAAUAUUAAACUUCAGAGAUCCUUAAUAUGUUCCAAAGCCCCACGGACCUUUGAAAUGCAAGCUCAUCAAUAUGCAACAUCUAAUCUUGUCAAAAAAAAAAAAAAAAAAAA